UACGUAGGGACCGAGCGUUGUCCGGAUUCAUUGGGCGUAAAGAGCUCGUAGGCGGCUGCUCAAGUCGAAUGUGAAAACUCGAGGCUCAACCUCGAGCCUGCAUUCGAUACUGGGCGGCUAGAGUCUGGUAGGGGGAUCUGGAAUUCCUGGUGUAGCGGUGGAAAUGCGCAGAUAUCAGGAGGAACACCGGUGGCGAAGGCGGGAUCCUGGGCCAGUACUGACGCUGAGGAGCGAAAGCGUGGGGAGCAAACAGGAUUAGAAACCUAGUACG
rnacentral:rRNA from 1 species